rnacentral:misc_RNA from 1 species
ACGAACUGCUCACCGGGGUGG